GACAUAGGUCGCAAACGUUAUCCGGAAUUAUUGGGCGUAAAGGAUGCGUAGAUGGUUCAGUAAGUUACUGGUGGGAAAUCGAGGCCCAACCUCGUGGAAGUUAGUAAUACUGUUGAACUUGAGUGCAGGAGAGGUUAACGGAACUUCAUGUGGAGCGGUAAAAUGCGUAGAUAUAUGAAAGAACAUCAAUAUAGCGAAGGCAGUUAACUAUUCUGCUACUGACAUUGAGGCAUGAAAGCGUGGGGAGCAAAAUGG
rnacentral:rRNA from 1 species